rnacentral:lncRNA from 1 species
GGUCAACCGCGCCAUGACCCGCCGCUACUUCAAGGACAUGGACGAGUUCGCCGAGUCCGACGUGGUCAUCGUGGGCGCCGGCAGCGCCGGCCUGGCCUGCGCCUUCGAGCUGGGCCGCAUCGCGCCCCACCUGAAGGUCAGUCAGUGCGCAGGCUGAGAGGGUUAGGUGGAUUGUGCACGUUUGCUGCCUGCCAGCAGCGUGUAGGACGGCUUGGCUUCGAUUGAACAAGUGUGGGAAAGGUGGUGCGCUGUGAGUACGUGUGUAUGUUGCUUUCGCGCUGCCUCCUUCCCCGCUCCCUCGUUCCCCGGCCACCACCUCGCCGCCGUAUUCAUACGUCUCGUGUGCCCGCCACCCCAUCCUCUCUUCCCACUGCUCAGGUGGCGCUGAUGGAGCAGUCUGUGGCCCCCGGCGGCGGCGCCUGGCUGGGCGGGCAGCUGUUCAGCGCCAUGGUGGUGCGCAAGCCCGCCCACGAGAUGCUGGACGCCCUGCAGGUGAGGAGGAGGCAAUAUGAGCGAUCCAUUGUCUUCCAAGAAAGUUUCUUUGGUUGCCACUGUGGUCUUGCAUGCUUGCCCUAGCCCCCUAGUUAAGAGGCAUGUGGCCCGCGCGAUUCCCUCGCUCCCCCUUCUGACCCGGUCCCUUCCCCUCCCCUCCCUCUCACCUCCCCCGCGCCACUCGCCCCAGGUGCCCUACGAGGACGAGGGCCACUACGUGGUGGUGCGCCACGCCGCCCUGCUGACCUCCACCCUGAUGAGCCACGUGCUCAAGGUGAGGACACUGCAUGUGUUUUCCUGAACUUGUAAUGCUAUACGGUAUGCGUGAGCUGUCGCCACUAUGCCCUACUCCUCUCCGCGGUCUUGCUGUCUCCCUUACCUUUUCGUCUCUUCCCCACCUGUGUGCUGCACUACAGAACCCCAACGUCAAGCUGUUCAACGCCACCGCUGUGGAGGACUUGAUCGUGAAGCCCGACCCCGCCCUGGGCCCCGGCGGCCGCCGCGUGGCGGGCGUGGUGACCAACUGGUCGCUGGUGGCGCAGGCGCACGGCACCCAGUCGUGCAUGGACCCCAACGUCAUUGAGGCGGGCGUGGUCGUGUCUGCCUGCGGCCACGACGGCCCCUUCGGCGCCACCGGUGAGUUGCAUGUUUUUGUGUCCGGUACCUAUUUUCCAUUGUUGUAUGCGUGUCUUGUGUGUUUCCGACCCACCCCUGGCCUGCGCUCUCGCCUCUUGUUUCUCACCUGCUUUCUCACCUGCUGCUGCCUCCACCCGCCCCCGCUGCCUACCUGCCGCUGUAGGCGUGAAGCGCCUGGCCCGCCUGGGCAUGGUGCCCGGCGGCGAGGUGCCCGGCAUGGGCGCCCUGGACAUGGAGGCCGCCGAGGGCUCCAUUGUCAACAACACCCGCGAGGUGAGCUUGGAGAGGUGGUGUUGAUUGCUGUGUUACAUAGGCCGGAAACAGCAGAGGGCCGCUGUCGCACAGCCCGCGUCCCAGCUUCUUUUGGCCUUGCCUGUGCCUCUGCUUAUGGCCUCCCUCACCUGGCUCGCUGCCUAGUUUUCUUACGGUCUUGCGUUCCCCUCCCCUCUCCCCCUCGCCCGCCCCAAUCACACCUCUAUACAGGUGGUGCCCGGCAUGGUGCUGACCGGCAUGGAGCUGGCGGAGGUGGACGGCUCGCCCCGCAUGGGCCCCACCUUCGGCGCCAUGAUCGUGUCCGGCAUGCGCGCUGCCCACAUGGCCGUCGCCGCUCUGGAGCGCCGCCGCGCCCUGUCCGCCGCCGCCGCCGAGGGUGCCGCCGCCGAGGCCCAGGCCUAAGCGCGCUCAGAACCUACUGGGCUGCGGCUCAUAUUGGGGUUGUUGCAACCCGUGGCCUGGUGUGGGUCUGCUGGUCAGUGUUGGGGCUAGGCGCAAUAGGGCGUGGGUCGCUGGGCACUGCGUCGCGAUUUCGUCAGGCUCCGAUGUCUUGUGGCUAGCACGUUUUCGACCGUGAGCGCAUGUCGGGUUCCGGUCCGGUAGCAACGUGCAAGACUCGGGUUUUGUUGAUGGAAUGUGUCCACGGGUUGAGGUUGAACGCACUCGUACUGGC